ACGACAAAUUGUCGUUGGAGAGACGUAUCCCGUCCGCUCUGCGAAGUUAAGCAGCCUCAAGCUCGGGUAGUACUCGGGUGGGUGACCACCGGGGAAGUCCGGACGUUGGUCACCG
rnacentral:rRNA from 1 species